rnacentral:rRNA from 1 species
CAUGUUGGUGGGCCGGUCAGUAGUUGGGCUGGUGGGGUGGCGUUUGUUGCGGUAGGGUGGUUGGUUGGUUGGUUGGUUGACCAGCUGGUCUGCUCUUUGCUCGCUCGUUCGCUCUCUUGCUGGCCGAUUGGUGAGCUGGCUCGCAUGUUCGCCUGCGGCGUUGGGGUGGCUGUGCAGUCGUGGCCAUGAGCAAGCACUGUCGCGUCAAGCCGACAAGGUGGUGGUGUCGCCUGUAAGCCAUGUCUGUGGUGUAGUCGCCGCAGGUGUGGGCGGGUGUUGGGCGGUGCUCUGCACGCGCUGCGGGGCCUGUCGGCUCGUCCACAUGCCUCUGGAUGCCCUUGAUUGGGUGUCUGCGGGCGGAUGGCACGUUUACUUUGAACAAAUUUGAGUGCUCAAGUCAGGCCGAUGUUGCCUGCAGAGUUUUGCAUGGAAUAAUGGAAGAGGACUUCGGUUCUAUUUCGUUGGUUUUCGGAUCCGAAGUAAUGAUCAAAAGAGACAGGCGGGGGCGUUUGUAUGGCUGCGCUAGAGGUGAAAUUCAUGGACCGUAGCCAGACAAACUAAAGCGAAGGCAUUCGUCAAGCAUGUUUUCAUUGGCCAUGAGCGAAAGUCAGAGGCUCGAAGACGAUCAGAUACCGUCCUAGUUCUGACCAUAAACGAUGCCAACUGACGAUCCGUGGUGGUAGUGAUGUUGCCUUCCCCACGGGCAGUCGCCGGGAAACCGUUAAGUGUUUGGGUUCCGGGGGAAGUAUGGUUGCAAAGCUGAAACUUAAAGGAAUUGACGGAAGGGCACCACCAGGAGUGGAGCCUGCGGCUUAAUUUGACUCAACACGGGAAAACUCACCCGGGCCGGACACUGUGAGGAUUGACAGAUUGAGAGCUCUUUCUUGAUUUGGUGGUUGGUGGUGCAUGGCCGUUCUUAGUUGGUGGAGCGAUUUGUCUGGUUAAUUCCGAUAACGAACGAGACUCCAGCCUGCUAAUUAGUGCGUUCGUCCACUGCGCCCGCGUGGGUGACGUUGGACGAUGCCGUCUGCCGUGGGUGCGCGGUUUGCGCUCUUGCCCUCUCCUCUCCUCUCCUCCCCUCCUGCACUUCUUCGUGUGAGGGUGGUGGGGUGGGGUGGGGUGGGCGAGGUUGCAGGUUCACGCCCGUGGUUGGUUAGUUUGGCGUUGGCCCGCGGGUGCGGCGCGAGUGUAUACUUCUUAGAGGGACAAGCGGGAGAAGCCGCGCGAGAUAGAGCAAUAACAGGUCUGUGAUGCCCUUAGAUGUCCGGGGCCGCACGCGCGCUACAAUGACGGUGUCAACGAGUGGGACCUUCUGGCCCGAGAGGGUUGGGCAAACUGGUCAAUCACCGUCGUGACAGGGAUCGGGGCUUGGAAUUGUUCCCCGUGAACGAGGAAUUCCUAGUAAGUGCAAGUCAUAAGCUUGCGCUGAUUACGUCCCUGCCCUUUGUACACACCGCCCGUCGCUACUACCGAUUGAAUGGCUUAGUGAGAUCCUUGGAUCGGCGUCAUUGUGGCAGCUGCCGGAAGGUCGCUGUCCUGCAGUCGCCGAGAAGACGACCGAACUUGGUCAUUUAGAGGAAGUAAAAGUCGUAACAAGGUUUCCGUAGGUGAACCUGCGGAAG